rnacentral:rRNA from 1 species
UUAAGCGACUAAGCGUACACGGUGGAUGCCCUGGCAGUCAGAGGCGAUGAAGGACGUGCUAAUCUGCGAUAAGCGUCGGUAAGGUGAUAUGAACCGUUAUAACCGGCGAUUUCCGAAUGGGGAAACCCAGUGUGAUUCGUCACACUAUCAUUAACUGAAUCCAUAGGUUAAUGAGGCGAACCGGGGGAACUGAAACAUCUAAGUACCCCGAGGAAAAGAAAUCAACCGAGAUUCCCCCAGUAGCGGCGAGCGAACGGGGAGGAGCCCAGAGCCUGAAUCAGUGUGUGUGUUAGUGGAAGCGUCUGGAAAGGCGCGCGAUACAGGGUGACAGCCCCGUACACAAAAAUGCACAUACUGUGAGCUCGAUGAGUAGGGCGGGACACGUGGUAUCCUGUCUGAAUAUGGGGGGACCAUCCUCCAAGGCUAAAUACUCCUGACUGACCGAUAGUGAACCAGUACCGUGAGGGAAAGGCGAAAAGAACCCCGGCGAGGGGAGUGAAAAAGAACCUGAAACCGUGUACGUACAAGCAGUGGGAGCACGCUUCGGCGUGUGACUGCGUACCUUUUGUAUAAUGGGUCAGCGACUUAUAUUCUGUAGCAAGGUUAACCGAAUAGGGGAGCCGAAGGGAAACCGAGUCUUAACUGGGCGUUAAGUUGCAGGGUAUAGACCCGAAACCCGGUGAUCUAGCCAUGGGCAGGUUGAAGGUUGGGUAACACUAACUGGAGGACCGAACCGACUAAUGUUGAAAAAUUAGCGGAUGACUUGUGGCUGGGGGUGAAAGGCCAAUCAAACCGGGAGAUAGCUGGUUCUCCCCGAAAGCUAUUUAGGUAGCGCCUCGUGAAUUCAUCUCCGGGGGUAGAGCACUGUUUCGGCAAGGGGGUCAUCCCGACUUACCAACCCGAUGCAAACUGCGAAUACCGGAGAAUGUUAUCACGGGAGACACACGGCGGGUGCUAACGUCCGUCGUGAAGAGGGAAACAACCCAGACCGCCAGCUAAGGUCCCAAAGUCAUGGUUAAGUGGGAAACGAUGUGGGAAGGCCCAGACAGCCAGGAUGUUGGCUUAGAAGCAGCCAUCAUUUAAAGAAAGCGUAAUAGCUCACUGGUCGAGUCGGCCUGCGCGGAAGAUGUAACGGGGCUAAACCAUGCACCGAAGCUGCGGCAGCGACACUAUGUGUUGUUGGGUAGGGGAGCGUUCUGUAAGCCUGUGAAGGUGUACUGUGAGGUAUGCUGGAGGUAUCAGAAGUGCGAAUGCUGACAUAAGUAACGAUAAAGCGGGUGAAAAGCCCGCUCGCCGGAAGACCAAGGGUUCCUGUCCAACGUUAAUCGGGGCAGGGUGAGUCGACCCCUAAGGCGAGGCCGAAAGGCGUAGUCGAUGGGAAACAGGUUAAUAUUCCUGUACUUGGUGUUACUGCGAAGGGGGGACGGAGAAGGCUAUGUUGGCCGGGCGACGGUUGUCCCGGUUUAAGCGUGUAGGCUGGUUUUCCAGGCAAAUCCGGAAAAUCAAGGCUGAGGCGUGAUGACGAGGCACUACGGUGCUGAAGCAACAAAUGCCCUGCUUCCAGGAAAAGCCUCUAAGCAUCAGGUAACAUCAAAUCGUACCCCAAACCGACACAGGUGGUCAGGUAGAGAAUACCAAGGCGCUUGAGAGAACUCGGGUGAAGGAACUAGGCAAAAUGGUGCCGUAACUUCGGGAGAAGGCACGCUGAUAUGUAGGUGAAGCGACUUGCUCGUGGAGCUGAAAUCAGUCGAAGAUACCAGCUGGCUGCAACUGUUUAUUAAAAACACAGCACUGUGCAAACACGAAAGUGGACGUAUACGGUGUGACGCCUGCCCGGUGCCGGAAGGUUAAUUGAUGGGGUUAGCGGUAACGCGAAGCUCUUGAUCGAAGCCCCGGUAAACGGCGGCCGUAACUAUAACGGUCCUAAGGUAGCGAAAUUCCUUGUCGGGU